CAGUAGCCGCGGUAAUACGUAGGGUGCGAGCGUUAAUCGGAAUUACUGGGCGUAAAGCGUGCGUAGGCGGUUCGUUAAGUCUGUUGUGAAAGCCCCGGGCUCAACCUGGGAAUGGCAAUGGAUACUGGCGAGCUAGAGUGUGUCAGAGGAUGGUGGAAUUCCCGGUGUAGCGGUGAAAUGCGUAGAGAUCGGGAGGAACAUCAGUGGCGAAGGCGGCCAUCUGGGACAACACUGACGCUGAGGCACGAAAGCGUGGGGUGCAAACAGGAUUAGAUACCCCGGUAGUCCCUGUCUCUUAUAA
rnacentral:rRNA from 1 species